rnacentral:rRNA from 1 species
GAUGAACGCUAGCGGCAGGCCUAAUACAUGCAAGUCGAACGGUGUCUUCGGACAUAGUGGCGCACGGGUGCGUAACACGUAUGCAACCUACCUUACAUUGGGGGAUAGCCUUUCGAAAGGGAGAUUAAUACCGCAUAAGACAGUAGCUGGGCAUCCAGCAGCUGUUAAAGAUUUAUCGAUGUAAGCUGGGCAUGCGUCCAAUUAGCUAGUUGGUGAGGUAACGGCUCACCAAGGCAAUGAUUGGUAGGGGAACUGAGAGGUCAAUCCCCCACACUGGCACUGAGAUACGGGCCAGACUGCUACGGGAGGCAGCAGUAGGGAAUAUUGGGCAAUGGACGCAAGUCUGACCCAGCCAUGCCGCGUGCAGGAUGAAGGCGUUAUGCGUUGUAAACUGCUUUUAUACAGGAAGAAACGACUCUUGCGAGAGGCAUUGACGGUACUGUAUGAAUAAGCACCGACUAACUCCGUGCCAGCCGCCGCGGUAACAC